rnacentral:rRNA from 1 species
GGAUCAAUACGUCGGUCGUGCUUCGGUACGUACUGGCGUAAUUGAUUUCUCCCUUCUGACGAACCAUGAUGUCAUUAACUUGGUGUCAUGGGAAAUCAGGACUGUUACUUUUUGAAAAAUUAGAGUGUUUAAAGCAGGCUCACGCUUGAAUACAUUAGCAUGGAAUAAUGAAAUAGGACGUUCGAUCCUAUUUUGUUGGUUUUUAGGUAUCAACGUAAUGAU